rnacentral:rRNA from 1 species
GACGAACGCUGGCGGCGUGCUUAACACAUGCAAGUCGAACGGAAAGGCCCUGCUUUCGUGGGGUUCUCGAGUGGCGAACGGGUGAGUAACACGUGAGUAACCUGCCCUUGACUUUGGGAUAGCUUCAGGAAACUAGGGCUAAGACCGGAUAGGAGCUCCUGCUGCAUGGAGGGGGGUGGAAAGUUUCGGCGGGUGGGGAUGGAUGCGCGGCUUAUGAGCUUGUUAGUGGGGUAGUGGCAUACCAAGGCAGUGGAGGGUCCGCCGCCUGGGAGGGGGGACGGCCACAUUGGGCCUGAGAUACGGCCCAGACUCCUACGGGAGACAGCAGGGGGGAAUAUUGCCCAAUGAUCGGAAGCCUGAUGCAGCGACGCCGCGUGCGGGAUGACGGUCUUCGGGGUGUAAACCGCUUUCGCCUGAUACGAAGCGUUAGUGACGGUAAUGGGUAAAGAAGCACCGGCUAACUACGUG